rnacentral:lncRNA from 1 species
CAAAAAAAUCCAUUUCCUCCAUUCUUCAUACCAUUAAUGCGUUCUAUUUAUGGUUUUGCUUAAUAGUUAUAACCCCUGCCACCCAGCCAACAAAACAGAACAACAGCAACAAAAAACUCUGCCUACAUCUCUGUGCUUCCAAAUUGUUUAUGCAUAUGCUUAGAAGAACAUUUAUUGAAUUGGAUUUCAAGUACUUGUUCUGUGUCUCUCUCGUCAAACUGUAAACUCUCAGUCUGACUCAUCUUUCUAAUUUCAGGGCUUAGCAAGUUAUUCAACAACUGGAAAGUUUAAAUUCAGGUUGAAUGGAUGAAUGAAGACAGAAUAAUCAUUUCUGUUUACAAGGGAACCAUACCUUUUUACAUAGACAAAUGCUUGUAAAGGUAUUUGAUCCUGAUUUAUGUUUGUCUCCAUUUUCUCCUUCAGAUGGGCCACCUGUUUUAAAUCCAAAAGCUGGUAGGAGUUUCAGGUACACUGCAUUUGCUUCUGCUGUCCUAUUGCACUUGGACUUGGUGCAGCUAUGACCUAAUGCAGAAGACAAAGUAUGAAGCUACCAAACUGUCAGGGCCAGAACUAAGGUUGAACACAUUGUGAGUAGAAGAUCUCUUUCCCCAGGAAAUAGGAUGGAGAGAGUCUUUGGAGAAUGGCCUCACUGAAAUGCUAAGUCAGCUUCCUCCAGAUUUUGAGCUCGGCAAGUUUUUCUUUGUUUUUUGAUACAAACUGAAAGAUGCCUUUGGUUAUAUCUACCCACUGAAAACAAGAUGCCAUCUGUGGAUUACACAGGGAUUCGUGAAGGUAUUCAAACAGUCGGAGCUUCUUCCUGCCUUUUCCCCUUUUGCUGGAGAACAGUGGGUUGUACCAGCUGGUUUUCAGUUAUGUUCUGCAGAGAUUGAUGAAUAUUUCCUUCAAAAUAGAAGUCCGCAGCACUGUUACUUACCAUUCUCCAAUUAUAGACAGGCUCCUCUGUAGGCAACACUCCAUAGCAGCUGGAAUUUCCUUUGACAUGAGGACGAUGGUUGAUUAAAGCCAGGUAAUUUUUGUAAUCUGGCGAGUACUGAAGAUCUCCAGUUGAAUGUUGCCUCAGAACCUCAAAAGCAUCCUCAAAUGCUUGACCCAGCUUCUCUUGUUCAACACAUGUCAUAUUUCAUUAAUAAAUUGACAAUUCUGUUCCUUAGCAAUUGUUGCAGGAAGACACUUCAACCCUUUAUAGAGAUGUUUCAUUAAUAUCAGAAUGGUAAAUUCAACGGUAGGCUAUCAUGAAAAUAAAAAAUUAUUUUCCAGUGCAAUGGCUCUGUCCAUCAGUGUCCAAAGCAGCAUCCACUUGUACACAGUGGAAAUAACCUUCCCGUCUCCUGAAACACAUGUCUG